rnacentral:tRNA from 1 species
GGCCCGGUGGUCUAGUGGUAAGACUUCCGUCUCUCAAUUGAUCAGCCACUUCUUGGAUACUUCAGGCUCAGAUUUGGAUAUCUUGAGCUUGCGGCUGAUUGAGAAAUGAUGGAUAACUCCAGUUCGAUUCUGGAUCGGGCUA